UAUCUCUAUAGUUCAAUUUGAUAUUGUUUUUUCAAAAACAAUAUAUCCGAUUGCUAUGUACGGAACAUUUGCUGGAGAAACGUCUUCUUUAGAACCUAAUCAGGAACAUUGUAAUCAAGUAAUAUCACUAAAUCAAUUAAUUUCAUUGAAAAAGAAAUUCAAGAAUUGUUCUUUUUUUUAAUGAUUUCUAAUUUCAAGGAGAAUGUCAUUACAUGUUCUAAUCUCAACUAUCGUGUAAAUGUAAGAGGGAGCUGCUUUUCUCUUUUUAGUAAACCAUACGAGAAACUUGUACUGAAGAGUGUAAAUGCUUUGUUUAAAAACGGAACAACAGCAAUAAUGGGUCCAACUGGUGGAGGAAAAUCCUCGUUAGUAAAUGAUUAAAUGUUUAAUGCAUAUCUUCAAUGGCAUAAUUUGAGUUUCACUUUAAGAUACUGAAUAACCAAAAGGUUUAUUUUGUUGAAUAUUUUCAGUCUACUUGACAUCUUAGCUGAUCGAAAAUCUACAUCUGGUAUUGAAGGAACUAUUUUAAUGGAUGGAAAAGAAAGAGGCCUAAAUUUUAAGUCAAUAACAGGUUAUGUUACUCAAGAAGAUGUGAUUAUGGGUACUCUAACAGUUAAAGAAAAUAUCAUGUUUUCCGCCAAUAUGCGUUUACCGUCGAAAUUAUCAAAGGAGAUAAAGAAAUUUAUGGUUGAGGAAGUUUUAGACGAAUUAGGCUUAACCGAUGUAGGAGACAGUAGAGUAGGAACGGAAUAUCUGAGAGGGGUAUCGGGGGGGGAGAGAAAGAGAACUUGUAUUGGCAUGGAAUUGAUCAUUAGACCGUCUAUUCUGUUUUUAGAUGAACCUACUUCUGGAUUAGAUUCUUCAACCUCUUAUUCAGUAAUCUGUUUGUUAAAUGAAUUAGCAAAAAAAGGAAGGAUAGUUGUGUUAUCGAUACACCAAGCAAGAUAUGGCAUUUUUAAAAUGAUAGAUAAUUUAUUACUUUUGGGAAACGGGUCUGUCAUAUAUCACGGGCCGACAGAAAAUGCUCUACCAUAUUUUAAUUCUAUUGGAUAUCAGUGCGAAGAAUUUAAUAACCCCGCGGAUUUCUUUCUAGAUGUUAUUAAUGGAGAUUUCGAUAAAACCAAAUCGUUUAUUGAAAGUUCCAAAGAACACAAUAUAUCCAUUUCUAAAGCUUUCGAAAUGUCUGAUAGAAAAAGUAGAUUUAUCAAACAAAGGAGUGAUAAGUUAGCUCGACUUUUUGAAAAAUCAAAAUACUACGCAAGAGUUGUUGAAGAAAUUCACCAGCGAAAUGCAUCAAUAAAUCAGCCUAGCUGUAAGAAGAUCCAGUAUAUAACAUCAUUUACAACUCAAAUCCUUCAUCUAAGUCAUAGAACAAUGAUAAAUUCAAAAAGAAAUCCAGCCUCAAUGUUUGCCCAGAUAUUUGUCAUGAUUUUAUUAUCAAUACUGAAUGGGCUUGUCUACUAUCAUGUUGAAAAUAAUAUUUCUGGUCUAACAAACAGGUGAAUCUGUGCCAAGAUCUCAUUAUCUCUUUUCGGAUAUUUAUAUAUCGAAAAAAUAUAUAUAUAUUGGCCAUUGAGCAAUCAGCUAAGUCGCGUCAUGGAAUCAAAGGAGUCUAAUGAAAUUUUCUUUUCUAGAGUCGGUUCCAUUUUCUCCACAACGUUGAAUAUGGUUUUUAUUAAUUUGGCUGCAAUUGAACUAUUCAUCAAAGAAAAACCUCUUUUCAUGUAAUUUCUAUUUAUUAAUUUUUCAAAAACUCUUUUUUGAGAAUUCUUUAAACUUAAAGGCAUGAAAACACAGGAAGAUAUUAUAGGGUUUCUUCAUAUUUCAUUGCGAAGUUUUUCUGCGACAUCAUACCGAUUAGAAUAUUUCCAGCUAUGGUUUAUGGCGCAAUUGUAUAUUGGAUGAUCGGAUUGCAUUGCAAUUUGGCGUCAUUUUUUACAUUCUUAGCAUUCUGUUGUUUGACUUCAUUGACAACUUGUAGCCUUGCAUUUGCAAUAAGUGCUGGAAUAAAGAAUUUUACUCUUGCUCAAGUAACCUUGGCUUUUCUCUGCGUGGUAAUGAUGAUAUUUAGUGGAUUUAUGGUUAAUCUGGAUUCAAUAAAACCUUACCUUCAAUGGAUAAAAUGGUUAAGCAUCGUCAGAUACUCUUUUGAUGGUUUAUUAAUUAAUGAAUUGCAAAAUCUAACAAUAUGCCAAAAUUAUCCGUUUUAUCGAAAGCAAAAGUUUUGCUCGAAAGAAAUUGCACGAUACUAUUUAAGAAACUAUCAAGGUAUAACAUAUGAAACAAAUUGGGAUUUAUGGCAAAAUUUUUUAGCUCUUUUCUGUCUGUUUUUGAUUUUUACUGUUAUAGCUUACGUCCAAUUAAGACUAUUGAGAAAGACAAAAUAACAUGUAUGAAAAUUGUAACUAAAUAAUCUUUUAUAUAUCAUUUUCUCGACUAAAUAAAAUUUUUAAUGAAUUAUGUAUCUCCU
rnacentral:misc_RNA from 1 species